UACGUAGGGGGCUAGCGUUGUCCGGAAUCAUUGGGCGUAAAGCGCGUGUAGGCGGCCCGGUAAGUCCGCUGUGAAAGUCGGGGGCUCAACCCUCGAAUGCCGGUGGAUACUGUCGGGCUCGAGUACGGGAGAGGCGAGUGGAAUUCCUGGUGUAGCGGUGAAAUGCGCAGAUAUCAGGAAGAACACCCGUGGCGAAGGCGGCUCUCUGGGACGGUACUGACGCUGAGACGCGAAAGCGUGGGGAGCGAACAGG
rnacentral:rRNA from 1 species